CAGAAGGCGAAGCUGUACAGGAGGCCACUUUUCUUCUCAGCCUAGAACUCGAGAGACCUGAAAGGAAGGACGACUGGCCACAGGAGAUGUUUCACAGAGCCGCUGAAUGAACAACACAGUCAAUUCUGAUCAACUUUCCAGUGCUAUCUGGGGCUUCUUUCCUCAUCAGGGAAGUAAACAUUUUACCAGAAACUCCCUGGCAGCCUUUUCCUGAACUGUCCUAAGGGCUAUGGCUGAAGUGUAAGUGAGUGGCCCUGGAGGUGGGUGCCUCUCCCCGGCGCAGUUUUUCCUUCCAUCACAAGCAUGGCUGAAGCUGGGUGGUGGUGCAUACAGAUUCCAGCCAGCAAGGAGGGGAAAGAGAGUUCAGAGGACUCACCUCCACUGUCCCCGACCCAGGCCUGUAGCAUCUAUAUUGGCUCCUCUCAGGUUCCACAGAAUUCCUCAAGAUGACUGAGGUUGGUCCCUGAAGAAACCAAAUUCAGUGUAAGAAAACCAACAUCACAAAGAGGUCUAAAGAUGAAGGCUGACAUUUAGAGCUUGUGAAUACAACUUCCACCUCCAUCUGUAAGCAGAAAAUAGUUCAUUAAAUAAAAGUCUGUCGGUAGUACAGCUUGAAAAUAAAGUCUGGUGUUUUAUUUGGCCCUGAA
rnacentral:lncRNA from 10 species